rnacentral:lncRNA from 1 species
ACUCCGGUACAAGUCAUAACCAUAUCCAGAUCUGGUUUGUAUAGGUGACUGAGAUAACCUCAGCCUCAUCUCAGGAAGUGGCCACUUUUGGAGAGUCCGACUAUCACGGUAGGCACAGAACUCUGCCAUGUCACUAGCUGAAUGACCUCGGAUGUCACUUCAACUCUGAGCCUUAGAACUUGUCAACUGCAAAGUGGGGCACUUCACCGAGCUACAUCAUUGAGCUACUUCACUGAGCUACUUCAUUGAAUUGGGAAAAUUAAAGGAGCAAAUAUGGGAGAAGGAUUUGGCCCAUAGUAAACACUAUGACUGUCCGUCUUCUGCCAUCUUUCAGUAGACCCAGUGGAAUUAUAUGAAGGUUGAUAGGCACUUAAACCAAGAAUAUAUGAACAUCUAUUCUGUGCAAGAUGUGUGCAUUGAACUCAGUCCAGGACUGAAGGGGACAGGAGGAAGGACACUGUUGUGUCUACAGCACCAGCUGGAUGAGCAGUUGAACAUGUGAAUUCUCUCGUUCGCACCAAGCCACAGCUGACUGGACACCAAGGCUAAGCAUCUGAUUGAAAAGCGGUCCAUAGAUUAGGAGGCUGUGACUGGCAUGACCUGAGACUAACCGAGGGACCAAGGCAAUGAGAAUCCUCAAUAGGGAGUCCAUGAUUA